GGCCAGUUAGCUCAGUUGGUUAGAGCGUGGUGCUAAUAACGCCAAGGUCGCAGGUUCAAUCCCCGAACGGACCA